CGGGCGGCUCCGGGAUCCCCAGAUCCCAGGGGAGGGAUCCGGGGGGAUCCGGGGGGAUCCGGGGGGAUCCGAGCGUCCGAGGAUCCCGCGGGGACGGACGGACAGUCCGGGAAUCCUCGCCAGUCCGGUCCUGGGGAGAGCCGUGGGGAUCCGGGAAAGGGAUCCAGGAGGGAUCCGGUGGGAUCUGUGGGAGAUCUGGUGAAUCCAAACGGGAUCUGGUGCGGCCAGGAGGGCCCUGGAGGAUCCCAGGCGAGUCUGGAGGAUCCGUGUGGGAUGCGGAGGAUCCGGGAGGGAUCUGCUGGAUCCAAGUGGGGCCUGCUGGAACCAGGAGGGAUCUGGAGGGUCCAGGAGGGAUCUGGUGCUGAGGAGGAUCCUUGGAAGCUUCAGAAAGUGCUGGGAGAGGAGCUCGGGGAGAGUCCCGGGGCGGGAUCAGGGCUGGGAUCUGGUGGGAUCCGGGCUGGGAUCGGGGUGGGAAUCUGGGCUGGAAUCCUCGCUGUAAGCUGGCUGGAUCCCGAUGGAUCCCGGCUGGAUCCCAGUGGAUCCCUCCUCAGUCGCUGCAGCACUGCCCUGGCCCUGCAGGCUGGGCUGGAGCUUGAUCCCACUGGAUCCUGGCUGGAUCCCAGCUGGAUUUGGGCUGGAUCCUGGCUUGCUCCCAGUGGAUCCCAGCUGGAUUUGAGCUGGAUUCCGGCAGAUCCCUCAGUUGCUGCAGCACUGCCCGUGGGGGCUGGGCGUAGGUCAGAUUCCAUCAGAUGUCAGCAGAUCCCAGCAGAUCCCGGCAGAUCCCGGCAGAUCCCGGCAGAUCCCAUCAGAUCCCGGCGGAUCCCAGCGGAUCCCUCAGUUGCUGCAGCACUGCCCGCGGGGGCUGGGUGUGGGUCGGAUCCCAGCGGAUGUCAGCAGAUCCCAGCAGAUGUCAGUAGAUCCCAGCAGAUCCCAUCAGAU
rnacentral:lncRNA from 1 species